AUUGAACGCUGGCGGCAGGCUUAACACAUGCAAGUCGAGCGGGGUGAUGGUGCUUGCACUAUCACUUAGCGGCGGACGGGUGAGUAAUGCUUAGGAAUCUGCCUAUUAGUGGGGGGCAACAUUUCGAAAGGAAUGCUAAUACCGCAUACGUCCUACGGGAGAAAGCAGGGGAUCUUCGGACCUUGCGCUAAUAGAGGAGCCUAAGUCGGAUUAGCUAGUUGGUGGGGUAAAGGCCUACCAAGGCGACGAUCUGUGGCGGGUCUGAGGGGAGGAUCCGCCACACUGGGGCUGAGACACGGCCCAGACUCCUACGGGAGGCAGCAGUGGGGAAUAUUGGACAAUGGGCGCAAGCCUGAUCCAGCCAUGCCGCGUGUGUGAAGAAGGCCUUAUGGUUGUAAAGCACUUUAAGCGAGGAGGAGGCUACUUUAGUUAAUACCUAGAGAUAGUGGACGUUACUCGCAGAAUAAGCACCGGCUAACUCUGUGCCAGCAGCCGCCGUAA
rnacentral:rRNA from 1 species